UGAGCUUAUUGCAGGAUUGCAGGUUUGUU
rnacentral:piRNA from 1 species